CGAUAAGUUCUCUCACACACAAGGAUAAAGGAACUCGUGCUUCAGGUGUUUCACCCAGUCGGAUAAUGCGCAGAAUGAAGAAGGGUUGGCGACACAAAGGCUCAACUAAGAAUAAAGAGGGUAGGCUAACGAGCAGUGUCACUUGGAAAGGCCUAACCAAGAUGAAACGGCGAAAGCACGAUGGUAAGGGUAAAGUUACCAGCGAUUCAACGAAGAACGAUGUAACCAAGCAGAAUUCACCGCAGA